AAAACCCUAGUUCUUUCCCUCAGCCGCCUCUGCCUUUUUUAACUUUCCUUAUUCAUUUUGUUCUCUUAUAGAUCUAUCUUUGUUAUUGUUAACUUAGAUCUAAGCAAGUAUCUUCAGUAUUUUUAAUUUUGUUUUCAUAAAUUUACAUUAUUGUAAAUUGCUUGUGUUCAUUUUUAUUUUGCUAUGUUUAUUUAGAUUUUGGCAGAUUAUCUGGAGCAUGCUUUCUUUAUUUGUUCCUAAUUUUUACAUGGUUAUGGGUAGCGAAGGAUUAACGUGAAACAGGUAAGUGAUAAUACAGAAUUCAUUGAGGAGAAAAGGGUCCAAAGGGUUGAUUGUUAUGAAGAAAUGAAGAGAACAUUUAACGUUUCUCGUGAAUCCUUCGGCUAUCCAUAACCAUGUUAAAUUUUGGGACUUGAAUGUUCUUGUCUUUAUAAAUAAAGAAAGCAUGGCUUCAGGUAAAUGCUAGUAAAUCUUUGAGUAGUUUACAUCUGUUAUUAGGAUACAAUGAGGGUUCAUUUAUCUACUUUGAAUAUUGUAUUGUUUUGUUGUAGUAUUGUUUGAUUGUUGUUCUUUGAUGGUCUAUCUUAAGCGGCCUCUCUACGUUUGAGUUGGGGUAAGGUCUACGCUAUUCGGAUCCCAUUUUGUGAAACCCCAUUUUUGUGGGAUUAGACUAGGUAUAUUGUUGUUGUUUUUAGCUAUAGCUUAAGAGCAUGGAUUGAAAAAGGGUAUUAGUUGAAAAGCUAAUGUAGAUUCUAGUUAUCAAGUUUAUCUUCGUGAAUGUUGUUGAGCUAUCUUUAUUUGUAUUUUGGAAAUUAUCUAGAGCAUGCUUGCUUUAUUUUCUCUACAUUUUGCAUGGUUAUGGGUGCAGAAGGAUUGAUGUGAAAUGAAGAGGUGUUAUGCGAAGAAUAAAUUAGAAUCAUUGUGGUGAAGAGAAGGUCCAAUGGGCUUUUUGGAGUAUGAUGUGUUUGUGAUUUUUGCAUGCUGUUGUUGUCUUCAAAACUAUAGUAGAAAACACUUUGUGUUUUACAUGAAUCCUUCUGCUAUCCAUAACCAUGUUAAUGUUAGAACUUGAAGCAAGGAUGGAUUUUAGGUAGUUGCUAAAAGUAUUGAGUAUGUCCAUGUAUAUUUGCAUUAGUCAUGAAUGUUAUUCUAUAUUCAAUAUAUUAUGGCCAUGUUUGUUGUUGAUGGUUAGUAGUUGAGGUUUUUCUUUCAUUCGGGGAAGGAAAGAAUGCCUUUAUCCAAAUAGGGAAAUCUCAUUAUCCUAUAGCUGUAGUGAGUUUGUCAUUACUACCUAUUGUUGGCCGUGAGUUUAGAAAACAUUUUCCUCUGUUCCAAUCACACCAAUCAAAUUGCUACUACAUUGUCUCAAUGCGUGGCUGUUUUGCUUGCUGUGAGAUAGGAUUUAAGUAUCUAGAAUGUGUAGUAAAUUAUUUAUGGUCUUUGCCUAAUAAGCACAAGUUGUUGUGAGUUUCCAUGACCUUUGUGCUAUCUUUAUUUGUAUUUUGGCGAAUUGCUGACGGACUCAUGUGAAACGAAGAGGUGAUAUGGCGGAAAAGAGAGUGCCCACUUCACUUCUUGAGCACGUGGUGUUUGUGGUCCAUUUAUGCUAUUGUUAGUCUGAUACACUUUAUGAAAGAAGCGCUUUAUGUUUUACACAAAUCCUUCAGCAAUCCAUAACCAUGUAAUGUUGGGACUUGAUUUAUCGUGUUCUCAAGUGGUGUAAAAUACAGAAAGCAUGGCUUUAGGUAAUUGUUGAAAGUGUGAGUAUGUUCACGCACGUUUGCGUUGGUCAUAGUUUUAUUCUGUCUUCAGUAUAUUUCCAUGAACAUGCUUUUUGUGGAUGCUUAGUAGUUGAGGCUUUUCAUUCCUGGGGAAGAAAAGAAUCUUCCCUGAUCGUAAGAGGGAAUUCUCAUUAUCCUAUAGCUGAAUAGCAAAGUUUUUUGUUACUACCUGUUUGGUAUCCUCCGAUCCAAAAAAAUGAAUCUGUUUUAUGUUUCAUCUUUGGAAAUGGCCACUAUUUUCUCGAUGCAUAGCUACUUUGCUUGGUGUGAGAUAGUGUUACUUUGCUUGGUGUGAGAUAGUGUUGAGAACCUAUAAUGUGUAGUGAAGAUUCAUAUGAACCUGCCCUAAUUAAGCACAAGGUGCUUUAAGUUUCCAUUAAAUUUGAAUUAGGUUUUCUUAUUUGUAUUUUGACAGAUUACCUAAAGCAUGCUUUCUUUAUUUUCUCUUCAUUUUGCAUGGUUGUGGGUUGCUGAAGGAUUAAUGUGAAACAAAGAGAUGAUAUUAGAAGAAUCUUUAGAAUUGCUAUGCAGAAGAGGAGGUGGCCCACCGCUCUUUUUCGAGUAUGUGGUGUUUGUGAUCCUUUUAUACAGUUGUUGGAUAAACUGACGGAAGAGAACGUUUUGUGUUUCACACAAGUCCUUCAGCAAUCCAUAACCAUGUUAAUGUUGGGACUUGAAUUUCCUUGCUCUCAAGUGGUGCAAAAUAGAGAAAGCAUGGCUUCAGGUAAUUGCUAAGAGUAUGAGUAGUCAUGAUUUUAUUCUAUAUUCAAUAUUCAUAGCCCUUAUUGUUGAUGCUUUAGUACUUGAGGCUUUUCUUUCUUUACUCUUGGGAAGGAAAGAAAUCCGCCUUGAUAUGAAGAGGAAAAUCUCACAUCUUUUUAAUAGCAGUGUCGGUCAUUACUGCCUGGAACGGCUAUGACUAUAGAAAAUAUUUUCCUUCAUACCACACACACCUGUCUGUUUAUGUUUGAUCUUUGGAAUUAACCACUAUAAUAGUUAAUGUUGGUAUACUUUGUUUCUUGUGAGAUCGGAGGAAUUCUUGGGAUGUCUAGUCAUUUAAUGGAUUUUACCUUGUGCACAAGGUGUUGUGAACUUUCAUGACCUUUGAAUUAAGCUGCUUUUAUUUAUGUCUUAGUAGAUUAUAUCUAGAGCCUCCUUGCUUUAUUUUCUCUUCAUUUUGCAUGGUUGUGGGUCUAUGAAGGAUUCAUGCUAAACAAAGAGAUGUUAUGCGAAGAUUCAUUAUGGAGUAGAGGAGGUUCACCAAGCAUUUAGGAGUAUGUUGUGUUUUGUGACCCUGUUACAAAAUUAUUGUCGGAUAAACCGAUGGAAGUAAACACUUUUGAGUUUAACACAAAUCCUUCUCCGAUCCAUAACCAUGUUAAUGUCGUGACUUGAAUUUUCUUGUUCUCUAGUGAUGCAAAAUAAAGGAAGCAUGGCUUUGGGUAAUUGAUAAAAUUUUGACUCAUGAUAUUAUUCGAUAUGCAAUAUAUUAUCCACUCCCUUUUUGUUGAUGCAUGGUGGUUAAGAAUUUUCUCUCCUCCUGGGAACGAAAAAAUUCUGCUUUAUUUGAGGAGGUCAAUUUCAUAUCCUAUAAUGAAAGAGAGCCCAACGUAUACCUAAAAUAUUGCGUAGCUUCUCUUUUAUUGCUCGUUAUUUAUUGGUUUUGUUAGUUGCUCAACUGCUAGCUCAGUUUCUGGUUCAAAAUUUCUCUCAUAAUGUAUAUUGAGGUGAAGUUGUAUGUUGUCGUUGUGCAUAUCACUUGAUCUUGGCGCGCCUUGUGCUUGUUUGGUCUCGAGCUCUUUCAACCUUCAUGGUAAACAUGUUUGUUCCAAAUUUCAUUUGUAUACUAGUCUGGAGCACCUGUGCAGUACCUGAUUCUUUUUAUGAGUAUUUUCUUGGUUGAAAGGAGAUCGAUGACUGGUAUAUGUGGAAUCUAAACUACAAAGCAAAAUGCAGAUAGAUGAUCAAUAUUGCACUGAAACUGUGUCGCUUGGGGUGCGUGGUUCAGGUUGAUGUUGCAACGGGAAAGUGAAGAGGGCAAGCAAACACUCGAGUCAUAUGGAGCACUGCCACUUUACACAAUUACCUGUAGAAAUGGUGGAUUGUGUAAUACCAGAUUUUUGCUGUAUGUAACGCUUUCUGGGCAUAUUUUAAUAUUGGGCAAUAAUAUAAACAGAUUUCUGUAUGUAACGUUGGCUUUUUCUUCAAUGUAGCCAUGUGGUCUUACCUUUUUUGUUAAUAGUUUAUUGUGAAGAUGUCGUCUCACUAGCAUUAUGUCCACAAUUCACCACCUACAGUCACUGUAAUUAUCUCACUAACACCAUCACAUUCACCACUAAUACAGCUGCCAACCACCCUGUGACACUUCCCACUGCACUGCUCAUUGCUACUGCAACACCAUUGCCGGCUGCAGCCACAGCCAUCCACUGCCGUCAACAGCCACUAUCAUUAACCACACUAUUCAUGCCCAAACAUAGCCAUCACCACUUCUGCCUGCCUCCACUAGCAACCCCCUCUAGUUAUUACAUAUUUUGGGAUAUAGAGAUAAUAUUGUGUAAGCUAUUUGUUUUGAUUUUGAUGCUUAUUAGGGAUAAAGUUUAAAUAUACGGAUGCUGAGAAAACAAAUUGCAUUGAUCAUUUAGUAUUCAGGUCCAAAUAUUUUAAUUUUAGAAAGAAACAGCUUUGUCGUCUAUAAACAUGAAAAACUACUCUCUGAAUUUAACCACUGUCCAAGAGUUUGGUUCACCUCGAACUAUAAACUAGGGGUGAUAAAUAGGUCAGUGUUUACUGCAAUUAUAUAAUUGUAGGUUUAUUUGAAUUCAGCACUAUACAAGCCAAAAGAUAAUUUUUAUUAAAAUUACAAGAAUUAGUGGUAGAUCAAAACUAAUAAUUUUAAAAGAGCAAUGUGUUCAACUCUAAAUAUUUUUAAAAUGAACACGAACGCUGCUAACCCAGCACAAAAGUAAUUUGGGCUGAGAAGAACUAGGUCACCAACCCACCCUACUCUUACCAAAUUCUAGUUUCUUUAUUUGUUUACUUAUAGUUUAUUAAUUAAUCCAAACAAAACUAAUAAAAGUUCCAUUACUUACAAACAUUUUGACAUAUCAGAUAAAGAAUAUCUUCUCAUCAAAUAUUUUGACAAGGUUUAUGAGCUGAUGAUUUUGCCACCCCCUACUUAAAACAAUUGAAUAUAAGAUGAACAACCUGCACUGAUAUAAAGGUCAAACAACAUUUUAUUGUCUAUGGAAUUUCUGAAAAUUCCGGAAUUUAAUUUUUCCAAAUUUUAUAGUUAACUGUGUUUUCCGAAGUUCCACUCUGAGAAAAAACAAUACAUGGCGAAGCGGCACCUUAUUCAUCACCAACAAUAAUGCCCCAAUUUCAAUUAGGUUGUCAACAAACAGGAUAACAGUAGAGAAAGAAAAGG
rnacentral:lncRNA from 1 species